rnacentral:lncRNA from 1 species
AAUUUCAUAUCAUCACUAAAAAAAUGUGAUGCCAUAUGUUAAAUCAUUGCUCUAACAUUUACGACCCUCGUGUGCCACUUGCGUUAAUAUGUUAUCCAAUAAGGCAAUAAGGUGGUGGUGGAAAAGAUAAUUUUAUGCUCACCGUUGUCUUCUCAUCUCACCAUCGUCCUGUUCGCUUGAGUUUAUCUGUCCAAUCUUCUAGCCAUUUAACAGUGUUUUUCGCUUACAAUAAAUCAGUGAAUAGUACGCUUAGCCAUGACUUAUCAGCCAAACGAUAUCUCGUAUUGACUCAAAUUUCGUAACUUACCAAAGUAUAAUAAAGCCGCAUUGUAGCUUUCUCCUCAUCUUUGCCCUCCAAGUCAGAUCCAAAGGUUGUCCUUCAUCCCAGCUUACAAGGCAUCUUUCAGUCACUGCCUUUGGUAUGUGCAGUCAACAAACACUGCUGUAAUUCCAAAACAAAAAAAAAGUAAAGAAAAAAACACUGCCAUAGACCGUUGUAUGCAAUGCAAACACGUUUUGUUGUGGCACGCCGCCUCAACACUACGGUAUAAUUAAUAUCCAUAAAAAUUACAAUAGAUUUUUUUGCUUUCACAUAAUAGUUUUGUUUCACCCGCGAGCAAAGACGACUUAAUUACGAUUUUAAUAUUCUCCUAGCCAUCCAUAGACCUCUCGAGCAUGGUUUCACGACACAAUAAAGUCGUCUCAAUCUUGUAGUCUCCCGUAGGAUCAUCAAUUAUCAUAUUUUUUUUCUAGUAGUAGAUUUGGCUUGAUUGGACCAAACUGAGUAAUAGGAUUCUUCAAUUCUAAAGUGUUGAUUAGGAAGGUCCUUGUAUCAACCUGCAUUUAAUAUAUACUCAAUCGU